rnacentral:tRNA from 1 species
GGCCACGUGGUGAAGUGGUAACACUGGAGUCUGCAAAACUCCCAUGCGCGAGUUCGAUUCUCGCCGUGGCCU